AACGCACCUUGCACCCUCUGGUAUUCCGGAGGGUAUGCCUGUUUGAGUGUCAUGAAGCAUCAACCCCGACGGGAGACCGUCUCGGUUGGAUCUGGGUGUCUGCCGUCCGCGGCUCGCCUCAAAAGCAUUAGUGGUCUGGCCUUGACUCCGGCGUAUUAGGUUCCGUCGGCCGAGUGGUCAUCCGCUUACAACCCGCCCUCGUGGCAACUUCUUUGACUUGACCUCAGAUCAGGUAGGACUACCCGCUGAACUUAA
rnacentral:misc_RNA from 1 species